CUGGAGGUAUCAGAAGUGCGAAUGCUGACAUAAGUAACGAUAAAGCGGGUGAAAAGCCCGCUCGCCGGAAGACCAAGGGUUCCUGUCCAACGUUAAUCGGGGCAGGGUGAGUCGACCCCUAAGGCGAGGCCGAAAGGCGUAGUCGAUGGGAAACAGGUUAAUAUUCCUGUACUUGGUGUUACUGCGAAGGGGGGACGGAGAAGGCUAUGUUGGCCGGGCGACGGUUGUCCCGGUUUAAGCGUGUAGGCUGGUUUUCCAGGCAAAUCCGGAAAAUCAAGGCUGAGGCGUGAUGACGAGGCACUACGGUGCUGAAGCAACAAAUGCCCUGCUUCCAGGAAAAGCCUCUAAGCAUCAGGUAACAUCAAAUCGUACCCCAAACCGACACAGGUGGUCAGGUAGAGAAUACCAAGGCGCUUGAGAGAACUCGGGUGAAGGAACUAGGCAAAAUGGUGCCGUAACUUCGGGAGAAGGCACGCUGAUAUGUAGGUGAAGCGACUUGCUCGUGGAGCUGAAAUCAGUCGAAGAUACCAGCUGGCUGCAACUGUUUAU
rnacentral:rRNA from 1 species